rnacentral:rRNA from 1 species
CGGCAUGCCUUACACAUGCAAGUCGAACGGCAGCACGGGGGCAACCCUGGUGGCGAGUGGCGAACGGGUGAGUAAUACAUCGGAACGUGUCCUGUAGUGGGGGAUAGCCCGGCGAAAGCCGGAUUAAUACCGCAUACGAUCUACGGAAGAAAGCGGGGGAUCCUUCGGGACCUCGCGCUAUAGGGGCGGCCGAUGGCAGAUUAGCUAGUUGGUGGGGUAAAGGCCUACCAAGGCGACGAUCUGUAGCUGGUCUGAGAGGACGACCAGCCACACUGGGACUGAGACACGGCCCAGACUCCUACGGGAGGCAGCAGUGGGGAAUUUUGGACAAUGGGGGAAACCCUGAUCCAGCAAUGCCGCGUGUGUGAAGAANGCCUUCGGGUUGUAAAGCACUUUUGUCCGGAAAGAAAACUUCUGCCCUAAUACGGCGGGAGGAUGACGGUACCGGAAGAAUAAGCACCGGCUAACUACGUGCCAGCAGCCCGCGGUAAUACGUAGGGUGCGAGCGUUAAUC